rnacentral:rRNA from 1 species
GACGAACGCUGGCGGCGUGCUUAACACAUGCAAGUCGAACGCUGAAGACCUGGCUUUUGUUGGGUUGGAUGAGUGGCGAACGGGUGAGUAACACGUGAGUAACCUGCCCUCUUCUUUGGGAUAACGCCCGGAAACGGGUGCUAAUACUGGAUAUUCACUGAUCUUCGCAUGGGGGUUGGUGGAAAGGUUUGUUCUGGUGGGGGAUGGGCUCGCGGCCUAUCAGCUUGUUGGUGGGGUGAUGGCCUACCAAGGCUUUGACGGGUAGCCGGCCUGAGAGGGUGACCGGUCACAUUGGGACUGAGAUACGGCCCAGACGCCUACGGGAGGCAGCAGUGGGGAAUAUUGCACGAUGGGCGAAAGCCUGAUGCAGCGACGCCGCGUGAGGGAUGGAGGCCUUCGGGUUGUAAACCUCUUUCGCUCAUGGUCAAGCCGCAACUGUGGGUUGUGGUGAGGGUAGUGGGUAAAGAAGCGCCGGCUAACUACGUG